UUAUCGGGGAAAGGGUGGGUGUCGCUCAGAGAGACUAUGCAGUGGAGUGUUUGAACCCAGGCUUACAUGUCCACCUUGGGUUUUUCUUCUUCUUUUUUUCCCCUGUCUUUAAAUAAAACAAAAACAAAAAAAAUUCCCAAAAAAAUGAGUAAAAACCGCUGAAAUGGGAUUCCCACUAAUAUUCCUCAAACGUGUCGUGCCAUCGUUAAAUUGUACAGCUAGUACAGCUACUAAUAAUAACAAUACAAACUGAAAAACCUUUAUUACCUAGCAAACGGCGGGCCAGUUGUAGCAGGAGGAGGACAGGUUAAGAUUUGCAAAAGUCCAUUUUUGUCGAUUUUUCUCGCAGCUCGAGCGAGGCCGGUGAAACUGCAAAUUUUACACGACUACAGUGCUUUUUUUUCUUUUUAUAGAGAUUCUAUCAAUCCAGUGUGUAGUUGGAUCACCUGUAAACCUAUUAUGCACAUCGCUUUGGGAGACUGUUGAAACUAUAUAUAAAAUAUAUAUAUGAGAAUAUAAUCGUACAGUGUCUAUAAUCAACGAGGGGGGCGUCUUCCUCUCUUGCAAACAAAAACAGGAAGUACCUUUUUAUUUUCAAAUGUCUUCCUCGGGUCAUCAAAGGAUUUUAUCUUUAAACUUCGGUGGAAUCUGCACUUUUUGAAGGACAAUCUUUAUUUGUAUGGGUAUAAAAAUUGACAAAAUAAACGAAGUCGCCUGAUAUUAAUGGUAUAAAAAACCAACUCCAGUGUGCUCUAAUAAUGAAUGUCUCCUCUGAUGCUGUCUACUUGUUUGGUUUCAUUUUAAUCCUUUUAUUCUCCUUCCUUUUGUUGCUUGGUUUGUUCUGUAUUUUUUUCCUCUUUAUUUCUUUCUGGAUUUUACUGCUCUUAAGAGAAUCUGUACUAAGGUGUAGAGUAGUGAGUAGUAGGUCUUCUGUUGGCUGUACUCGUAUACUGAAUUACUGUUUGUAACCCGCUGGCUUCUGCAGCCAGCAUACAAAGCUGUAUAACUUGGGUACAACCCUCAAUAAAAGACUAAUACACAG
ensembl:lncRNA